rnacentral:rRNA from 1 species
AACGAACGCUGGCGGCGCGUCUUAAGCAUGCAAGUCGAACGGCAAGAUUUUGUAGCUUGCUACAAAAUCCUAGAGUGGCGGACUGGUGAGUAACACGUGGGUGACGUACCUUUCAGAUGGGGAUAGCUACUAGAAAUAGUAGAUAAUACCGAAUACGACCACAGGGGUUAGAGACCUGUGAGGAAAGGAGCUAAGGCUCCGCUGAAAGAUUGGCCCGCGGCCCAUUAGCUAGUUGGUAGGGUAAAGGCUACCAAGGCAAUGAUGGGUAUCCGGCCUGAGAGGGUGAUCGGACACAUUGGGACUGAGAUA